rnacentral:rRNA from 1 species
UCAAGAUAGUAAGAGCAUGCGGUGGAUGCCUUGGCACCAGCCGGCGAUGAAGGACGCGGUGGGCGGCGAAACGCCACGGGGAGCUGCCGAACAAGCUUCGAUCCGUGGGUGUCCGAAUGGGGCAACCCACCUGGAGAGAACUCCAGGUAUCACAGGCUGAAUAAAUAGGCCUGUGAGGCGAACCCGGGGAAGUGAAACAUCUCAGUACCCGGAGGAAAAGAAAUCAAAAGAGAUUCCCUUAGUAGCGGCGAGCGAAAAGGGAAGAGCCUAAACCAAUCUCUUUGAGAUUGGGGUUGUGGGACCGCAGAGUACUAAUGUAUUUUCUUAGCUGAAUUGAUCUGGAAAGAUCAGCCAUAGAAGGUGAUAGCCCUGUAAGCAAAAAGAAAAUACAUGGGAAGCGGUAUCCCGAGUACCACGAGGCACGUGGAACCUUGUGGGAAGCUGGGGGGACCACCCUCCAAGGCUAAAUACGUGCUGGUGACCGAUAGUGCACAAGUACCGUGAGGGAAAGGUGAAAAGAACCCCUGUGAGGGGAGUGAAAUAGAACCUGAAACCGCAUGCUUACAAGGUCUCGGAGGAAGCAUAUGCUUCUGACGGGGUACCUUUUGAUUAAUGGGCCAGCGAGUUACUGGCACUAGCAAGGCUAAGGGCUUCAGGCUCGGAGCCGUAGGGAAACCGAGUCCGAAUAGGGCGUUAAGUUGGUGUCAGUAGACCCGAAACCAGUCGAUCUACCCAUGGCCAGGAUGAAGGAGGGGUAAAACCCUCUGGAGGUCCGAACCGGUGUUUGGUGCAAAAAGCUCGGAUGAGCUGUGGGUAGGGGUGAAAGGCCAAUCAAGGCUGGUGAUAGCUGGUUCUCCCCGAAAUGCAUUGAGGUGCAGCCUCUGGUAAUAGCCGCAAGGGGGUAGGGCACUGGAUGGGCUAGGGCGGCGUAAGCCGUACCAAACCCAACCAAACCACGAAUACCUUGUUGGUGUUUCCAGGGAGUGAGACUACGAGUGCUAAGAUCCGUGGUCGAGAGGGAAAUAGCCCAGACCGUCAGCUAAGGUCCCUAAGAGAAUGCUAAGUGGUAAAGGAUGUGGCGCCACAAAGACAGCCAGGAUGUUGGCUUAGAAGCAGCCAUCAUUUAAAGAAAGCGUAAUAGCUCACUGGUCGAGUGGUGCUGCGCCGAAAAUUUAACGGGGCUCAAGCAUUCCACCGAAGCUACGGAUUUACCGAAAGGUAAAUGGUAGGGGAGCAUUCUGCUAACCUGCGAAGGUAGGUCGUGAGGCCUGCUGGAGGAGGCAGAAGAGACAAUGCUGGCAUAAGUAGCGUAAAGGCUGAUGAGAAGUCAGCCCGUCGUAAGCCUAAGGUUUCCCGGGGAAGGUACAUCCGCCCGGGGUUAGUCGGGACCUAAGGCGAGGCCGAAAGGCGUAGCUGAUGGACAGCCGGUUAAUAUUCCGGCACCACCUAAAUAGCGUUAUUACCGAAGGGGGGACGCAGGAGGAUAGCCUGAGCCUGCUAUGGUUUGCAGGUCCAAGCGUCGAGGCUGAGGGAAGAGGCAAAUCCCUUCCCUCUUAAGGCUGAGGCGUGACGGGGAAGGCCGUAAGGCCAAACUCGGGUGAUUUCACACUGACGAGAAAAGCCUCGUAGGGAGUUAUUUAGGUGCCCGUACCGCAAACCGACACUGGUAGGCGAGUAGAAGAUACUAAGACGUUCGGGAGAACCCUCCCCAAGGAACUCGGCAAACUGACCCCGUAACUUCGGGAGAAGGGGUGCCUCAUUAGGGUGAGGAUGCAAAUCCAAGCCCGAAGAGGCCGCAGUAAAGAGGGCCUGGCGACUGUUUACCAAAAACACAGGUGCCUGCUAACUCGUAAGAGGAUGUAUAGGCACUGACGCCUGCCCGGUGCCGGAAGGUUAAGGGGAGGAGUCAGGGGGUAACCUCGAAGCUCCAAACCGAAGCCCCGGUAAACGGCGGCCGUAACUAUAACGGUCCUAAGGUAGCGAAAUUCCUUGUCGGGUAAGUUCCGA